rnacentral:lncRNA from 1 species
AGACCCAAUUACACCCUAUGGGUUUAACCCUUUCAGGUGGGUCAACUGAUAUCCAUAUAUCAUUGACCUUCAUGAACUCUAUUUUGGAUUUCAUGGCUUCAAACCAUUUAUCAGAGUCAGACCUCUGCAUUGCAUGCAUAUAGAUGAUCGGAUCCUCAUUAUUCUCAUCGAGUUCAAUAGGAUCCCCAUCCCUAUCGGAUCUCCUUAAGAUGCCUCUACAACAGGUUUUGGAUUUGACAUUAUCAAAUCUAGUUCUGUGGGUUCACUAGAUUGUGUCAGUUCUACUGUUGAACUUUCUCAAGUUUAACCUUAGAGACAUUAAUUCCUUCCUCAAGAAAUUCUUUUUCCAAAAUGACUAUCCUAAGGUUGACAAAUACUUUUUAUUCAUCAGCAA